rnacentral:rRNA from 1 species
UACGGAGGGUGCAAGCGUUAAUCGGAAUUACUGGGCGUAAAGCGCACGCAGGCGGUUUGUUAAGUCAGAUGUGAAAUCCCCGAGCUUAACUUGGGAACUGCAUUUGAAACUGGCAAGCUAGAGUCUUGUAGAGGGGGGUAGAAUUCCGGGUGUAGCGGUGAAAUGCGUAGAGAUCUGGAGGAAUACCGGUGGCGAAGGCGGCCCCCUGGACAAAGACUGACGCUCAGGUGCGAAAGCGUGGGGAGCAAACAGG